GCCCCCUUGGCCCAAUGGUAGAGGCGGUCCCCUUAAAAGGGAUUAGUUGUCGGUUCGAAUCCGAUGGGGGGUA
rnacentral:tRNA from 1 species